GACGAACGCUGGCGGCGUGCUUAACACAUGCAAGUCGAACGGAAAGGCCCUGCUUGCAGGGUACUCGAGUGGCGAACGGGUGAGUAACACGUGGGUGAUCUGCCCUGCACUUCGGGAUAAGCCUGGGAAACUGGGUCUAAUACCGGAUAGGAGCCAUUUUUAGUGUGAUGGUUGGAAAGUUUUUUCGGUGUAGGAUGAGCUCGCGGCCUAUCAGCUUGUUGGUGGGGUAAUGGCCUACCAAGGCGGCGACGGGUAGCCGGCCUGAGAGGGUGGACGGCCACAUUGGGACUGAGAUACGGCCCAGACUCCUACGGGAGGCAGCAGUGGGGAAUAUUGCACAAUGGGCGCAAGCCUGAUGCGGCGACGCCGCGUGGGGGAUGACGGCCUUCGGGUUGUAAACUCCUUUCGCUAGGGACGAAGCUUUGUGUGACGGUACCUAGAUAAAAAGCACCGGCUAACUA
rnacentral:rRNA from 1 species